GUACUCUACACAUGUAUGCGCUUCUGUAGAUUUUAUUUAACUCUUUCUUGCUUAUUUUGAUAUGGCCAUUGUUGCAAUCAGAAUUCAAAGUUUCGGAAACAAUACCAAAAACUUAGCUCCAUAUUAUUUAUUUGUUCCUCUGUGAGCUUUUUAAUAAUUUUUUUUUCACUAUCCUUUCCUUCUCUAUCUUUCUCCUUUCUCUCUCUCUCUCUCUCUCUCUCUCUCUCUCUCUCUCUCUCUCUCUCUGGCUCUCUGUUUAUCUAUAUCUCCUUCUCUCUCUCUGUCUCUUUCUUUCUUCCUUCCUUUUUCUCUGUGAACUAUGACCUAUUUAUGUUCCGCUAACAAAAAGCCAAAAUGAACAAUUUCAAAAAAACUUAAAAGAACUAAAAGUGAAAUAUAGCAGGUAAAAAAAAAAGAAAAUAAACACAAACAAAAAAAAUGAACCCUUCAAAGAAAUCAAGAUUUAAAAAAAUAAGAAAAAAAUAGAAAAAAAUGUAAAAUAACCAAUAUGAAGACUAUUUGGAAAUGGUCUUCAGCUAUUUUAUUGUCUUUUUUAUUAUUAUCCUAAUUAUUAACUAUUAAUUAUUAUUAUUAUUAUUAUUAUUAUUAUUAUUAUUAUUAUUAUUAUUAUUGUUAUUACAGGCAGGUCCGCUAAUCAAUCACCACAACCAAAAGACAUUGUAAUUAUUAUCAUCGUUUACCGUUAUUAUUUUCAUGCUUUUUUCCAACACUUUCAUGCAAGUUUCUUACUGCACUACAAAGUGCACUUGCAAUGUGUUUGUGUUCUGUGAGUGUGUGUGUAUGUGCAUGUGCGUGCACAUGUGUGCAUGUGUAAGUGUGUACAGCAUUGUCUUUCAGGAAUGUAGAACCGUGUGUUGUUUGUAUGCUAACAUCAGUUUAUUAUUAUUAUUAUUAUUAUUAUUAUUAUUAUUAUUAUUAUUAUUAUUUAUUAGUAUUAUCGUUGCUUUUAUUAUUAUUAUUAUCAUUAUUAUUAUUAUUAUUAUUAUUAUUAUUAUUAUUAUUAUUGAUAGUGUUAUCAUAACUGCAUUUUGCUGCAUGGUUGACAGUGCAUCAUGGAAGAUGCACCCUGGUUUUAGGAGUGUAAAAAAAAUUGUUUAUAGUUACCAAUACUCCAUCCACAAGAAUUGGCAAUGUCCAGUGAGCACAUGCUAAAUGCCCGUUAUUAGGCAAAGCACAUGGCCAAAACUACAGCAGUGCUCAUUUUCACUGUCAUUGGGUGAAAUCACAAGCAUUUCUGUGGUAUUGAGUAGAAUAUUUGCUGUAGCCCAUCUUUUGUACCAAGACUACUGGAGUGCUAAUUUUUACUGACAUUGGGUGAAAUCACCAGACAGCGGCCACCAGCCUGGUGGUUUUCUGCCGGGUAUUAGGGUAGUAUGUAACACUAUGCUCUCCACUUUAACUGCCCUGUGAUUAUUACAGUAGCCACCAGCCUGGUGGUUUUCUGCCGGGUAUUAGGGUAGUAUGUAACACUAUGCUCUCCACUUUAACUGCCCUGUGAUUAUUACAGUAGCCACCAGCCUGGUGGUUUUCUGCCGGGUAUUAGGGUAGUAUGUAACACUAUGCUCUCCACUUUAACUGCCCUGUGAUUAUUACAUGUGACAUGCCAUAGUGAUCGUACUACACCCAUCACUGCUGACCACCUAUCAACUACAGGUGCCCAACUACAACUGCUGCCAGUCAAUCCUUAGGUAUCCCAACAUGCACUAGGCAAUGCUUGUUUCUGUGGAUUGACCUUAAUCAACGCCACUUGUGUAUCGGUCAUUAUAGCAUCAAUUUUUAAUUAAGAGUCUGUAAGUGGAAAUUUUUUAAUGUAACACUCUUUUCUACAUUUCUAACAAGCUGUGGUGCUUGUAUUCUUUGUCAUUUGAUUUUUAUCCAUAUGACGAAGAUGAAGACUAUUUUUCAUUUGGAAAAGGUAAGCAUAUUGUUAUGUCGCAAUACUACACAGUGACUGUGUGAGCUACGAAAUCCUUGUCGCUGCUGUUAUGUCGCACGCUCGGAUGACUUCUACUCAACACUGCUCUGCUCUAAUCUACUUCUCUCAACGUCUAGGCCUCUCCCUCUAUAUCUCCAUAUUGGGCCAGCCUACUUCAUCAUCUGGGGGUGUCCACACAACACAUAUAUACAUCAGCAUCUAUAUUUAUUUUGAAAAAAGGAUAGAGCAAAAUUUACAAAUCACUUUGGUAUUAAUCAGAUUAAUUAGAAUUUCAGAAUAUAAAAUACUUACAAUUGCUAAGUAAUUAAAUAACAGCCUCUGUAUGGGACUGCUUUCUGUUAAGCCUCAGAAAACCACAGCACAACUUCUCAACUAGUAUCCUGGCAGUCGCAUGGUAAUUUUCAUGGUAUUUUUUUCUUAUAAGGUGUGUCUUCCAUGUUUGCAAAAUACAUUAUUAUCGCUAUCAAAAGGGGAAAACUGGCAGAAUCAUUAGAGAAUCAGAUUGCCUUGUGGUAUUUAUUAUAGCUCUUUAUUUUCAGAGUUGAAAUCCCUCCAAGGUUAACUUUACCUUUCCUCCCUCUGGGGUGGAUAAAAUAAAGUACCAGUCAAAAGCUGGGGUCGAUGGUAUUGACUAGACACUAAACCCUCAUCCUUUAAAAUUUACUGGCCUUGUCCCUCAAUCUGAAACCAAAUUUUAUCACCAUUAUCAUUAUUAUUGUUUUUCUUCUUUUUCUCGUUAUUAUUGCUACCAAAGGCAACAAGCUGGCAGAAUUGUAAGUGCAUGGGGCAAAAUGCUUAGCACCAUUUUGUCUGACUUUUUACAUUCUCAGUUCAAAUGCCACCAAAGUCAACUUUGCUUUUCAACCUUUCAGGGUUGAUAAAACAAGUACCAGUUGAACACUGGGCUCAGUAUAAUUGACAAACCCCUCUCCUGCUAAAUUUCAGGCUUUGUGCCUAGAUUAAAAAGAUUAUUAUUAUGAUUAUUAUUAUUAUUAUUAUUAUUGAGUGAGGGAGCAGUGCAUGCCUUCAAAGUGAUACUGGGGUAAAAUAUACGAAGCCCAGUAUACCCAUCAUGACUACCCAUCUGAUAAGGGCACACCAGGCACAUACAUCACAACCAUAUGUGUGCAACAUGGUGAUCUCAUAUUAAGAUAAACAGCACAUGACCUUGCAGGUGGGGCCCAGUUAGAAUUUUCUUCUGGUCGAGAAGCCCAUCCCGCUCAUAAGGUCCCUGAAUAAGGAUUAAGGAUGUUGAACAAACCAUCCAUGUUUCCAAAGGUGAAUUAUCCAAACCUCUAAGAAUUCCUUCCAACACACAGCUAUGAUGCUCCCCCACUACUAUUAUUAUUGUUAUUGUUAUUAUUAUUAUUAUUAUUAUUAUUAUCAUCAUCAUCAUUGUGAGCUGGCAGAAUCGUUAGCAAGCCGGGCAAAUAGCUGUAUUUUGUCCUGACUUUACAUUCUGAGUUCAAAUGCCAAUGAGGUCGACUUUGCCUUUCAUCCUUUUGAGGUCGAUGAAAUAAGUACCAGUUGAGUACUGGGGUUGAUGAUAUUGACUAUCCCCUCCCCCAAAUUUCAGGCCUUGUGCCUAUAAUAGAAAGGUUUAUUAUCAUUAUUAUUAUUAUUAUUAUUAUUAUUAUUAUUAUUAUUAUUAUUAUUAUUAUUAUUAUUAUUAUCAUUAUCAUUAUUAUUAUUAUUAUUAUCAUUAUUAUUAUUAUUGUUGUUAUUAUUAUUAAUACUAUUAUUGUCUUUCAUUUUAUUUUUUUUGACAAUUUUGAUUUUUAUGCUUGUUUUAUUUAUUAUAAUUUUUUUUUCUCGUGAUUGAUUCUGCAAACUCUCUCUAACUCUCUUCCAUCAUUUUUGUACUUUCGUCUUUUGUAACAACCCCCACCUCUCAAAACAAAAGGAAAAAAAAAAGAAAAAAGACGUAGCCCCUGUGGCAAAAUAAAAGAAAUGACUAUAAUUAAUAUUUAUUAUUACAUUGAGUAACCAUUUGGCAGAAGCGGUAUUACCAUUACAAUUCCCCCACAUACACACACACAUACACUCACCACAUUCCGAGUUCAAAUCAUACAAAGUUAAUUUUUAUUCUUAUAAGCAGUGGCAGGAAUAUUUUCUAAAAUAUGAUACCAGUAAAAUACUGGGCUUAAUUUAAUUGACUCUACCUCCUUCACCCUCUACCCCAUUCCCAAAUGAAAAAUAGUGUAUGGCUUAGUACUAGUGUCAGAGAUCAUUAUCAUCAUCUUCGUCAUCAUCAUCAUUACUGUUAUCAUUAUUAUCAUCAUCUUUAUUAUGAUUAUUUUCAUUAAAUAAUAUUAAAGUAAGUACCACUUGAGAAUUGGAGUGACUGCAAUCAACUUACCCCCUCCCCCUAAAAUUGCUGGCCUUGUGUCAAAAUGUGAAAUCCUCAUCAUCAUUAUUAUUAUUAAGGCAGCAGGCUGGCAUAAUCGUUAGUAUGCUGGAUGAAAUGAUUAGUGGUAUUUCGUCCACUGCUAUGUUCUGAGUUUAAAUUCUGCUGAGGUCAACUUUACCUUUCAUCGUUUCAAGGUCACUAAAAUAAGUACCAGUUGCAUACUGAGGUUGAAGUAAUUGACUAUCCCCCUCCCCCAAAAUUUCAGGCCUUGUGCUUACAACACAAAAGAUUAUUAUUAUUAUUAUUAAUUAUUAUUAUUAUUAUUAUUAUUAUUAUUAUUAUUAUCAAGUGAGAGAGAAAUGCAUGCUAUCAAAGUGACACUAGGGUACAAAUAUACAAAGCUCAAUACACCCAUCAUGACUACUCAUCUGAUAAGGGUGCACCAGGCUCAUGCAUCACGACCAUAUGUGCGUGACAUGAUAAUCUAAUAUCACGAGAAACAGUGCAUGACCUUGCAGGUGGGGCCCAGUUAGAAUUUUCUUCAGGCUGAGUAGCCCACCCCACUCGAAAGGUACUUGAAUAAAGUUUGUUUAAAGAUGAUGAAUGAAACACCCAUGCUUCCAGAGGUCAAUUAUUCAAACCCUAAAGAAUUCCUCUCAACACACAGCUUUGAUUCUCUUCCCACUACUUCUGCUCGUGAUCAGAGAUGCACAUAUCGUCAGCCACUAAGGGACAUGCUCAACUGGUUAUGGUCAAACAACUGAGAAGCAAAUCUGUGGUACUGAGCAGAAUAUUUGCUGUGGCCCUUUUUUUUUAUACCAAGACAAAACAAUGUACAUGAUAACACUUCCAAUCAGUUAAGAUCAGAAGCAAUGAGAGCCACUGCCUGGUACUGCAUCAGGGCAUAGUACUGCAUCAGGGCAUUUAUUAUUAUUAUUAUUAUUAUUAUUGGUAAUGUCAAAGCAGUAAGCUGGGUGAGUCUUACCAUGUUUGAACUAAAAUGCUUAGCAGCAAUUCUGCAGGCUUUACAUUCUCAGUUCAAAGUCUACUAUGGUUGGCAUCAAUAACAUAAAGUAUCAGUCUAGUACAGGGGUCAAGUAAUUGACCAACACUGCCCAUUAAAUAUUGCUGGCCUUGCGCCAACAUUUGAAAACAUUAUUGGUGUUGUUUUUUUCUUCAUCAAAGAAUGUAUCUUUGUCCAGUUAGCCCUGAAUUUUUUUCCUUUUGCUGUUACACUCCCUUUAAUUAAUUUAUCAAAGCCCACACAUCCAAUCUGGCACACAACAUAACCAUCACCAUCACUACUUUUGCUUAGCAAUAUUUUUUAAAGCCAUUCUUUGGAAUUCUGAAUCCAGAAUGUCUUUAGAUAUGUCAAAAAGUUUGCAUGAAAGUAAGAUACAGAUACAGGGACAAGGAAUUCAUGAUAUUCUACAUAUAGUCUGAUGUCUAAAUGGUUGGUCACGGUUGGAGAGGAAUGAUAUCAUGAUGGGUCCAGUUUUUGUUUUCUAUUUUAUAUAAUUGUAUAUGUGUUUUUUUGCUCAGAUAUCUGCUUACUUCUCCCUGACAAACAUCAUCUCUCUCUCUCUCUUCCUGUAUGUGUGUAUAUAUAUGUAUGUAUAUGCACACUCAUAUAUAUACAUACACAUGUGCACACACACACACACACACACACAUAUAUAUAUAUACAUACAUAUAUAUGUCUGUAUAUAUAUAUAUAUGUGUGUGUGUGUGUGUGUGUAUGUAUGUAUGUAUAUAUACACACACACAUGUAUAUAUAUGUGUAAAUAUCUAUCUACAUAUAUAUAUAUAUAAUAUAUAUAUAAUGGAUAUAUAUAUAUAUACUAUACAUAUAUACAUAUAUAUACAUACACUUAUAUACACACAAGCAUACAUAUAUUUAUAAAUACAUAUAUAUUCUUUAAUUCUUUUACUUGUUUCAGUCAUUUGACUGCAUCCAUGCUGGAGCACCACCUUUAGUCAAGCAAACCGACCCCAGGACUUAUUCUUUGUAAGCCUAGCACUUAUUCUAUCGGUCUCUUUUGCCGAACCACUAAGUUACAGGGAUGUAAACACACCAGCAUCAGGUUUCUUUCAGUUUCCGUCUACCAAAUCCACUCACAAAGCUUUGGUCAGCCCGUGGCUAUAGUAGAAGACACUUGCCCAAGGUGCCACAUAGUGGGACUGAUCCCAGAACCAUGUGAUUGGUAAUAUGUAUAUAUAUAUAUAUCAUCAUCAUCAUCAUCAUCAUCAUCGUUUGAUGAUGAUGAUGAUGAUGAUAUAUAUAUAUAUAUAUAUAUAUAUAUAUAUAUAUAUAUAUAUGGAGGAGUAUGUUUGAGUGUGUAUGGUUGAGUGAAUAGCAUAGCAGACAAUCAGCCAAGAGGGCACCAGUUUGAGUUUUGUAUAGUGUGCUCUCAUUGUGUCCAUAACCAGAAUGGUUAAUUCACAAAUGACCCAGUUUACUUAGCUGUACAUAGGUACCACCAAGUCUUUCUCAAGCCUACAGGCUCAUUAAAAUAAGGCGUAACCCAGUUUGUUUCUUUUAUUCUGAGCCACUCAGUGACUGAAAAUACAAAAUUUCCAAUAUGAUGGGAUACCAGUUUGUUACAAAGUUGAUUUGCAGCUAUUUCUGGUACAUAUUUUCUAUUGAAUGGACUGAACCAACAUUAGAUGAACUACCUAGCUCAAGCACUCCAUUUACUUCUCAAUCAUGGAACUGAAUCCCAGGUGACAAGCUGGCAGAAAUGUUAGCACACCGGGCAAAAUGCUUAGUGGUAUUUUGUCUCUCUUUAAGUUCUGAGUUCAAAUUCCACCGAGUUUGACUUUGCCUUUCAUCCUUUCAGGGUCGAUAAAUUAAGUACCAGUUAUGCACUGGGGUCGAUGUAAUCGACUUAAUCCCUUUGUCUGUCCUUGUUUGUCCCCUCUAUGUUUAGUCCCUUGUGGGCAAUAAAGAAAUAAGAAACAUUUGCACACCGGGUGAAAUGCUUAGCAGUAUUUCGUUUGACUUUGCCUUUCAUCCUUUCAGGGUCGAUAAAUUAAAUACCAGUUGUGUACUGGGAUCAAUGUAAUCAACUGGCCCCCUCCCAAAAAGUUUCGGGCCUUGUACUUAGAGCAGAAAAGAAUCAUGGAACUGAAUCCAUAUUUCUAUAAUUGUGAGUUCAAUACUUUAACAUCUAGGCACAAAAAUUGUACCUUCCGUACCACAAUAUGCUAUGUGCAUGACUAAAACACUUAGCUCACUCAAGUCCUCAGUCCACCUAGCUAUAAACAGGAACCACAGAUAAUAUGCUGUAUCCAUGUAGCUUGACAUACCUCUCAAAUGUUCACAAAUCACCAAGUUGUAAGUAAGUACUAUAAGAGUGAGGAAACUAUAUUUUAAGUCAAUGACGAGAUAUCUAAUACUCAAAUGAUAUCAGUCUACCCAACUGUAAAUAGGUAUCAGCCACAGAGCAGGAAGAGAAUAUAUCAAUAGAUGAGACAUUAUAUAACAAAUAUGUUCAGUCUGCCUAUCUGUAAAUAGGGACCAACCGCAAUAGGUGAAUGUUCAUAAUGACCAAGAUUUUUAAUUAAUUAAUGUUCUUAAUGUUCUAGCCUGUCUAGAGUUAGCAACCACAGGAACAGUAAAUUGUGAUCAAGUUAUUUAAUUACUAAAUUAUUUAAUUAAUAAAUUGUGAUCAAGUUAUUUAAUUAAUAAAUUUUCUCAGUCUACCUGGCUGUAAAUUAAGACCAAUCACAAUAGGAAAGGUAAAUGUCAUUGAUGACCAGAAUAUUUAAUUAAUAAUUGUUUUUAGGCCCCCUAGCUAUAGAAUUGGUAGCAAUCACAGGAAUGGUAAACUGUGCCAAAGAUAUUGAAUUAAUAAAUUUUCUCAGUCCAUCAAGCUGUAAAUUGGGACCAACCACUAUGGGAAAAGUAAAUGCUGUUAAUGACCAAGAUAAUUAAUUGGUAAAUGUUCUAAGCCCACCUAGAAGUAGCAACCACAGGAACAGUCAAUUGGGAUUAAUAUUUUUAAUUAAUAAAUUUUCUCAGUGCACCUAGCAGCAAAUAGGGACCAAUGACAAUGGGAAAGGUAGUGUUAUUGAUGAGCAUGAUAUUUAAUUAAUAAUUGUUUUUUAGUGCUAGCUUUAAAUUGGUAGCAACCACAGGAAAUGUAAAUUGUGAACAAUUCAUUUAAUUAAUAAAGAAACUCAGUCUACCUAGCUGUAAAUAGAGACCAGCCGCUGUAGGAAAGGUAAAUGUUGUCAAUAAUCAAGAGGUUUAAUUAAUAAUUACUUUUAACCAAUCUAUGUAUAAAUAGGUAGAAACCACAAGAAUGAUAAAUUGUGUCAAAGAUAUUUAAUUAAAAUAUUUUCUCAGUUCACCCGGCUGUAAAAUGGGUACCAAGCUCAGUAGAAACACUAAACUGUGUCAAUGAACAAGAUAUUUAAUUAAAUGUUCUCAAUCCACUUAGCUUUGUGGGCAUGUAUUUGUUUGGCAUCAUAGAGAGAGAGAGUAUGUGUGUGUGAGUUUGUGUCUUGUAUUCUAGAAGAAUAUAAAUAUGGUAACACCUGAGACUUGUAAAUAUUUCAUCACAACUAAGUGAGAAACUAUAAUGGAAUUCAGUUGUCAUUAAUUUUGGCUUUUUGAAAUUUUCUCUUUCUAUUUUUUUUUAUUUUGUUGCAAAAAUUUUUUUUUAAAUUGGCAAGAGAACUGUUACUAUUGAUUAAUAACAAGAAAAUCCCAAAGAAAUAACAAAAACCUCAAUCACCUAUUCCCUUCCCACCCCACCCCACCCAAGAUCCAAAAACUUAAAAAAAGGACCGCUGCCAAAAGGAUGCAUAGUCUGUGAGUGUUUCUCAUCAAUGAAAUUAAAAUGAAAUCAGUUUGCUAAUUGUUUAAUAUUGAUUAGGGUAAUUGUAAAAUAAUUCCACAAAACAAUAUUUAUUCGCUCCAUUCAAAAAAAAAAUAAAUAAUAAUUUUUGUUUUUUCAGAUUCAAAGUUUACAAGUAAAGAACUGGAGGAAUACACAUAUAACAAAUUUUUUCCUUUAUUUUUUUUUUAUGAAUUUUUUUUUUUUUUUUUUGUUUAAUCAAUCAAAAAACAAAAAUUCUCACAAUUUGAGGAAGAAAAACCAUGUUGAAGUGAAAGCAAACAAAUAAACAAAAAAAAAAAUACCAAAGAAAAAAUUUAGAAAACUUACAAAAACUUAAAUAAUGAUAAAGCUGUGAUGCAGUGAUUUGUUUUAAUAACUAAACACUUAUACUGAUGCUUUUCAAAAAGUACAGCUGUUAUACUUGUUUCAUAUACACAUGUGUAUAUGUGUCCAUAUAUAUAUAUAUACU
rnacentral:lncRNA from 1 species